CCUACGGGUGGCAGCAGUGAGGAAUAUUGGUCAAUGGCCGUAAGGCUGAACCAGCCAAGUAGCGUGAGGGAAGACUGCCCUAUGGGUUGUAAACCUCUUUUAUGCGGGGAUAAAGGUGUCCACGUGUGGAUGUUUGCAGGUACCGCAUGAAUAAGGACCGGCUAAUUCCGUGCCAGCAGCCGCGGUAAUACGGAAGGUCCGGGCGUUAUCCGGAUUUAUUGGGUUUAAAGGGAGCGUAGGCCGGUCUUUAAGCGUGCGGUGAAAUGUUGUGGCUCAACCCCGGCGAGCCGUUGAAACUGGCUGUCUGGAGAUGUCGAGAGGUAUGCGGAAUGCGCAGUGUAGCGGUGAAAUGCUUAGAUAUUGCGCAGAACUCCGAUUGCGAAGGCAGCAUACCGGCGGCGAUCUGACGCUGAGGCACGAAAGCGUGGGUAUCGAACAGGAUUAGAUACCCGGGUAGUC
rnacentral:rRNA from 1 species